CACAGGUUUAUCAGGGGUCGCACAGCUUCACCUGUGUGUCGGAUAUUACAUUCAGAUAAGCAAUGCUUUGGGUCAGCUAUUCGACAACCACCAUGAUGACUAGAAAAGCACUGCUCAUUACAGUGUUAAGUUUAGUAUAUUGUAAUGCCACGGCUCAAACAUCAACUACUGAAAGUACAACAGCUCAGCCAACUCAAACAUCAACUGACACUGCAAAUACUGGAACUACAACAGCUCAGCCAACUCAAACAUCAACUGACACUGCAAAUACUGGAACUACAACAGCUCAGUCGACUCAAACAUCAACUGAUACUGCAAAUACUGAAACUACAACAGCUCAGCCAACUGAAACAUCAACUGACACUGCAACUACUGGAACUACAACAGCCCAGC